rnacentral:sRNA from 1 species
AUAAACUAGAUUUUAUCCCGCGGUACACCGCGGUGACAAUUUAUCUUUUUAAAGUUAGUAUAAUUUUUCUUUUGCAAAUUGUAUCUAUCUAUAAUAUAUUUUUAUUUUAUAGUUUACAAUUGUUAUUAAGUAACGUCCUGCCAAACCCAUCCCGCCAAACCCGUCCCGUAAAAAAACUAUUUAUUUAUAUUAAUGUUGAUCUUAUUUAUGAUAUGUUUAUAAAUCAUUGUCUAAAUAUUUUUGUCGAUGCGGAACGUUGAACCCACACAUUUUUUGCUAAUAGGAUAAUAUAUGUUCAUUUUUAAAAUUUUGAAUCAUAUAUUAUAUAAUGAUGUUAAAAAAUUGUAAUAUAUCAAACUUUUUAUAAGUUUAAAUAUUAAUAAUGUUUUAUAAAUUUUAAAUAUAUAAAUAAUAAUAUUUAAAAAAUUAA